UCUAGGAAUGUAAGCAAAUUUGCUUGCGAUUGUCGGCAAAUAUGCUCUCUGUGUGCUGGAAAUAAAUUUACUAUAGUAUUGAGUAUAAUUCAAGAAAAGUUAUCACAAAUCUCCCUUUUAGUGUUGCGUUUUUAUCAAAACAGCUGGAAGAAAAAAAUAAACAGCUGUUAGAAAAUGAUUUAGUUUUCAUUUUGAAAAUUAAAGUGUGUCCGAAAUACAAUUUGUGUAUUGUGAAGAAGACAAAAAAAGUUGUUAACUGUAAAUACAAUUUUGAAAAUGAACCAAUUUUCAUUAACCAAAAGGAAAAUACAGCCUUAACGAUCAAUUUUAAAUUCUCUGGAUGUUCCCAUGAUUCGCUUGUGAAAGACAGGAGACCAUUGGACUGGAAACGACAGCAAUGUCUAACUGCUCAAUAAACUGUAAAAAAAAGUUAUGCCCCAAAAAGCUUAUUUUUUUUCAGGUGAUAGUGAAUGUACCCUGAA